CUCGCUCUCCUCUGCUCGUCCCAGGCAGCGGCGGCAGCGCAUGGACAGUGGCAGGGUCGGGCGCAGCACCGCCAACCGUACUGUAACCGGAGGCAAGUGGAGCGCGGCAGGAUCAGUCCGGUCAUCCCGACCCGAAUGUAUUUGGCGGAAGAGGAGGCACAGGUAAUAAAAUUCAUCAUCUUCUCUCCAUCUCCAUCUCCACCCCACAGCCACGCCCUAGAGAUAAAAGUCUUACCACAACCGCUUUUUGAGAGAGGGACAAUAUAACUGAGAUGUGGAUUUGGGGAGAGAGAUGCGAUUUGGGGAUUGUGGCUUCUAGAGGUUUGUAGAGAUGAGAGUAGAUCCAGUAGAUUUGAAAUGGUUUUUAAGUAGAUCCGAUGGAUGAUUACAUGUUAUGAUCUCUAGUAUUUCUCUAAAAAAUCAUUUCUCAAGUACAGAAUUUCUAAAUGUAGAAAUUAUUUUUAUUUUUCUGUAGAAAGAUCGAUUAGAAAAACGACAAAGUACUUGUUCUUUCAUUGUGUAGAUGUGCGAUAGGUUAAAAAUAAAAGGGCACAACUAUACUGUGGAAAACUCCGAGUAUCAAAACGGAGGUAGUACAAAUUUAGCAGAUUAGUAAACAAAAUAAUAAAAGAGUAGUAAGAACAACAAACUUACUCAGUAAACAAUGAAUCCAUGAACAUGACUCAUAUAUGUAGAUCCGGCUCGCUCGUGCGCUCCUUUGAACUAAAAGUAAUAAAUGAUAAUGGAACAUGUGCAUGUGUAUGAGCUUUAUAUUUUGGAAACAUUUUGUAUAGUACUUGAGAAUAAAUAACCACGAUGAAAGAGAUUUUAAUCCUCGGGGUUGGAUGAAAGUAAGUAAACAUCUCUCAUCGUGAAGCAUUCGACACUGCACAUUAAUUUGGAUAGAGAAGAUUAAUAAUAGUAACUAAGGUACAUUGCACAAUAAGCAGAAGCACAAAAAUGGAGUAAUCAUUUGUGGCAAUCUCAGAAUAGAGGGUCUUCUAUAAAGAGAGUAAACAUAGGCAAACUUAGAGAAAUGGUUGUAAUUUGGGAGCAUAAAGGCUGAUAUGGUAGGUGCAGAUAACAUAAAAAUAUAUUCAUUUAGUUUUCAUAAAAAUAUACAGACCUUCUAGCCCGCAUGGUUGGCCUAUUAUUCUCAUUUUUAUAGUCAUCUAAUACUCCCUCCAUUCAAAAAUAUAAUAUGUUUUGGAGAUUUCAAUAUGGACUACAUAAAAACUGAAAUGAGUGAAAACACACACUAAAAUGCAUCUAUAUACAUCAGAAUCAAAAAAAUGGUAAACCAUCAAGGGAGUACUUACUAAUUGGAAUCAUUUUGGUCUCUCUUUCCCUAGAUGAAGACCACUGAGCAAUUAUCCUGGAAUACAUUUUCUUGAGG
rnacentral:lncRNA from 1 species